rnacentral:rRNA from 1 species
GAGAACUAACAGGAUUCCCUAGUAACUGCGAGUGAAGCGGGAAAAGCUCAAAUUUAAAAUCUGGCAGCUUUGGUUGUCCGAGUUGUAGUCUGGAGAAGCGUUUUCUGUGCUGGACCGUGUACAAGUCUCUUGGAAUAGAGCGUCAUAGAGGGUGAGAAUCCCGUCUUGGACACGGACUGCCAGUGCUUUGUGAUGCGCUCUCAAAGAGUCGAGUUGUUUGGGAAUGCAGCUCAAAAUGGGUGGUAAAUUCCAUCUAAAGCUAAAUAUUGGCGAGAGACCGAUAGCGAACAAGUACCGUGAGGGAAAGAUGAAAAGCACUUUGGAAAGAGAGUUAAACAGUACGUGAAAUUGCUGAAAGGGAAACGAUUGAAGUCAGUCGCGUCUGCCAGAACUCAGCCUGGCUUUUGCCUGGUGCAUUUUCUGGUGGACGGGCCAGCAUCAAUUUUGACCGCCGGAUAAAGGCCUUGGGAAUGUGGCACCUUCGGGUGUGUUAUAGCCCUUGGUUGUAUACGGUGGUUGGGAUUGAGGAUCUCAGCAUGCCUUUAUGGUCGGGGUUCGCCCACGUUCAUGCUUAGGAUGCUGGCGUAAUGGCUUUAAACGACCCGUCUUGAA